rnacentral:rRNA from 1 species
GACGAACGCUGGCGGCGUGCUUAACACAUGCAAGUCGAACGAAGAGCGAUGGAAGCUUGCUUCUAUCAAUCUUAGUGGCGAACGGGUGAGUAACGCGUAAUCAACCUGCCCUUCAGAGGGGGACAACAGUUGGAAACGACUGCUAAUACCGCAUACGAUCUAAUCUCGGCAUCGAGGAUAGAUUAAAGGUGGCCUCUACAUGUAAGCUCUCACUGAAGGAGGGGAUUGCGUCUGAUUAGCUAGUUGGAGGGGUAACGGCCCACCAAGGCGAUGAUCAGUAGCCGGUCUGAGAGGAUGAGCGGCCACAUUGGGACGGAGACACGGCCCAGACUCCUACGGGAGGCAGCAAUGGGGAAUCUUCCGCAAUGGACGAAAGUCUGACGGAGCAACGCCGCGGGAGUGAUGACGGCCUUCGGGUUGUAAAGCUCGGUUAAUCGGGACGAAAGGCCUUCUUGCGAAUAGUGAGAAGGAUUGACGGUACCGGAAUAGAAAGCCACGGCUAACUACGUG